rnacentral:rRNA from 1 species
GACAGAGGUGCCAAGCGUUAGGCGGAAUCACUGGGCUUAAAGCGUGUGUAGGCGGAUGUCUAAGUACCUUGUGAAAUCCCACGGCUCAACCGUGGAACUGCUUGGUAUACUGGAUGUCUUGAGCCAUCUAGGGGCUACCGGAACAAAUGGUGGAGCGGUGAAAUGCGUAGAUAUCAUUUGGAACGCCAAUGGUGAAAACAGGUAGCUGGGGAUGUGCUGACGCUGAGACACGAAAGCCAGGGGAGCAAACGGG